ensembl:lncRNA
AAGCUAUAUGAGGGAUCAGGUGGCACACAGUUUUCUUUCUGCUUUUCCCCUACCUAGAAGGUGUUUGGCUGUGCUGAAAGCUCUGGGAUUUACCAGAGCUUUGUCUGUCCUAUCUUGUUCGGAGUGGCACUGCUGUAAGGAAGAAGAUGAAGAGAUGGGAAAGAGCCUUGUUGUUUCCUGAACAGCAGAGUUACAGCAGUCUCCUGUGGAUUUGUGUCCUUUGGCCUUUCCAUCCUACUUCUGUUUCUGCCAUAACAACCCCAGCUCUUUUCACACUGCUCUUCCUGUGACUCUGCAACACAGAAGAUAACAUAAUCCUGCAGCUGGGACAGAGCUGUCAAGUGCUUGUUGGCCAGUCAGGACAUGCAUGCUGUCUGCCCAGCUGAUCUGGGCUGCUAUGCUAAGGAUGAGAAAGUGCACACAGUUCUUCAUAUGGAUUUCCCCACAGACUGGAAGCACCAGAAUUUUGCAAGAGUUUCUGUAGUGUGGAACUAUGACUACAGAGACCAUGGUGAUUCUGGCUCCAUUACAGCCAGCUAUGCCCUAUAUGAACUUGGAUAUGUGAAAGCCCCCACCUCUGUCCUUUUCAAAGUAGAAACAGACCUACAUUUGAUCCUUGAAAUCUAAUAUUCCCACAUUUCUCUGGAACUUCCCCCUCUGGUUUGUAGGGUCACCAUAAAUUGGCCCCACUUUGGACUUCCCUCUCACAGAGAGUGGCUGCUGAAUCAAGCAGAAUGAAAUGUUGAUGGUAUUUUUCCAAUACAUUGAGCUUUUCUUAGGAACCACUUCUCAGAAUGUAAUUCCAAGCAAGGCUGAAAAUGUAGUGAGGAAAGUAGUGUGUAGGAAUGUUAAUUAUUGCCCAAACAGUAAUGCUGGGAGUUUGUAUUGCAUUUCUUCAGAAAUCUUAGAUCCUGUUGACCUUCUUCAAACACUCCCAACGAGGAAGCGGAUGCCUCAAAACCCUAUUAUUAAAAGCUGCUUGAAAAAUCAGUGAUUAGGCAAUAUAGUAUGCCCUGUAUUGUGAAGACUCUGGGAGUUUUCAAAAGUUAGAUACUGUUUGGCCAACUGAUUGACUUUCCAGCUACCACACAAAUAACAUGAAACAAGCCAGAAGAGAUGCUGUUUGGUUGUGGUUAAGGUGUGUGGAAGAAGCUGGGUGUAUUGGGACGGUGGAGAGUUUUGAGAAUGUCAUCAGUUCUGGAAGGAUGUGUAAGGGAAAGGUGCAGAUCAUGGAGUCUGUAAGCAGAAUCUCAAAGUACUGCAUGCACCAGGGUUGGUGUGCUGGGAGGGGUGAAGGUGUGUAGGGUGCAAGUUCUUAAAUUGUGAAAAGAGGUAUGGUGAUGCUUGGAACAGCUUGGGUGCAGACAAUAGAAGUGUAAGAUUAAAUACUGGGUUUCUUGCUCUAGAAAAGUAGCUGCUGCUCAGUUUCAUCAGAUUUUUAAAUGACUGUGUCUUAAGCAGUCGGUGCAGCGUAACUGACCCAUGUAUAAUAACACUUCUGCUUUAAUAUACAUGAAGGCUUACAGGCAGUAGAGCUAAUCUCCCAAAAUAUAAACCUUUGUCUUCUGACUUACCUCAGAUUCCUUUAAUUCAAGGCUCUAGAAGCUAUUGCAAUUAGCUUCUACUC